GGUCUUAUGGUGUAGCUGGUUAGCACUUCGGAUUCUGAUGCCAGUGCAAUUGAAUCUUCCGGUGACCCCGGUUCGAAUCCGGGUAGGACCU